AGUGAACGCUGGCGGUAGGCCUAACACAUGCAAGUCGAACGGCAGCACAGUAAGAGCUUGCUCUUACGGGUGGCGAGUGGCGGACGGGUGAGGAAUACAUCGGAAUCUACUUUUUCGGGGGGGAUAACGUAGGGAAACUUACGCUAAUACCGCAUACGACCUACGGGUGAAAGCAGGGGAUCUUCGGACCUUGCGCGAUUGAAUGAGCCGAGGUCGGAUUAGCUAGUUGGCGGGGUAAAGGCCCACCAAGGCGACGAUCCGUAGCUGGUCUGAGAGGAUGAUCAGCCAAACUGGAACUGAGACACGGUCCAGACUCCUACGGGAGGCAGCAGUGGGGAAUAUUGGACAAUGGGCGCAAGCCUGAUCCAGCCAUACCGCGUGGGUGAAGAAGGCAUUCGGGUUGUAAAGCCCUUUUGUUGGGAAAGAAAAGCAGCAGGUUAAUACCCCGCUGUUCUGACGGUACCCAAAGAAUAAGCACCGGCUAACUUCGUG
rnacentral:rRNA from 1 species